CCUGGAGCUGCAGGUGAACCCGGAGCUGCAGGUGAACCCGGAGCUGCAGGUGAGCCCGGAGCUGCAGGUGAGCCUGGAGCUGCAGGUGAACCUGGAGCUGCAGGUGAACCGGCUCAGCUGUGGAUAAACGGCGUCCGUCGUGGAGGAGGAGCAGGACUGAAGAUGCAGAGGAGUCCAGACUUUACUGUGAAGACGCUGCCUUUCUGUUCUUUGGAGUUUCGUCGUCUUCAUUCAUAAAACAGGAGCUGACAGAUGAACUGAGCCUCCCUCCAUAGAUCCACAGUCAUGUCUCCUCCUGCAGAAGGAGGUGUUUAGGAGACGCAGAGCAGCAAAUACAGUCUGAAGGUUACUCCUGACAACACAGAGCCAAAUAUAAACACGGCAAACUGCUGGAUUACUGCUUUAUGUUGUGUACUGAGCAGCGAGACGCUGGUGAACAAAUAUACAGUAAGGUGUUUAUUUAUAGGAAAUAGAGCGGGGCUGGUGGUGGUGGUGAGGGGGGGCAAUAAUUGGAAUUUCUUCCAGGGAAAAUCCUAUUUCUGCAGUCUGGCUGAGAUAAAGAAAGACAUAAAUGGAUGGAGGACAGGAGGAAAUGGAAGAAUACACAGAUGCAAGCUGGAGAAAAUCCCAUUUUUCUCUGUUUGGAAGGAAGGACGGAUGGAUGGAAAGAAGGAAGGAAGGAUGGAAAUCCAUACGGUAAAAUCCAGUGGAUGCAGCAGGUAAACCCAGUAUCUGGAGUCUUCAGAUUACCAAAAUAAUCUCCCAUGAGAGACUAACAGGAUUUAGGAUGUGUCAGUCUGGAAAAGUGUGAAUCUUUGCAUGAAGUCAAACUUUAACAAAUAUGUAAAAAAACGCUGACAUCGUCACUUUGGGACGUUCUCUUCGUUUUGGGAAAAAGAACGAGUGCAGAUCUCUGCAAAGAACGGCUUCAGGAGGAACUGCAGCUUUGGAUCAGAGAAGAAGAAGACGUGAAAGUUUCACAGGGAAUGCUGGGAAUCUUCUUCUGUCCAUGUUUGUGUUGAAUCGUCCGUCCUGCUGUGACCGUCUAUCCUGAGCCGGUCGCUCUCAUGCACAGAUCUGGGAUGUCACCUCCCCCGGAGGAACAUCUGUUCCAGCUUUGUCCUGCAGAAGCAGCUUGGAUUCUGUGGUCCGGGCUGAUGUUUUCUGAUACAGAAGGAGGUUUAGUCUGAAGCCCAGAAUUCACGCAGCGUCCCACAGAAACGGAGCGGGAAGCAGCGGAUGCUCCAGGAAAAGACGGAAGUGAGACGGAGCAAAGGCUGGGAUGAGAGAGCUGACGGAGCGCCUGAAAGAAGGGCUGCACGU